UACAGAGGUCUCAAGCGUUGUUCGGAUUCAUUGGGCGUAAGGGGUGCGUAAGCGGCGCGGUAAGUCGGGUGUGAAAUCUCGGAGCUUAACUCCGAAACUGCAUUCGAUACUGCCGUGCUUGAGGACUGGAGAGGAGACUGGAAUUUACGGUGUAGCGGUGAAAUGCGUAGAUAUCGUAAGGAAGACCAGUGGCGAAGGCGGGUCUCUGGACAGUUCCUGACGCUGAGGCACGAAGGUCAGGGGAGCAAACGGG
rnacentral:rRNA from 1 species